rnacentral:lncRNA from 1 species
GUCUGGUGAGGAUGGUGAUGUGUACUGUAGUCUGGUGAGGGUGAUGGUGAUGUGUACUGUAGUCUGGUGAGGGUGAUGGUGAUGUGUACUGUAGUCUGGUGAGGGUGAUAUGUACUGUAGUCUGGUGAUGAUGUGGAUGUGUACUGAAUACUGGAACAAUAUUUCUAACAUAAGAAUGUGGGGAAUGGUCAGAGGCGAUCUAAAGAACGUGGGGAAUGGUCAGAGGUGAUCUAAAGAACGUGGGGAAUGGUCAGGCGAUCUAAAGAACGUGGGGAAUGGUCAGAGGCGAGCUAAAGAACGUGGGGAAUGGUCAGAGGCGAUCUAAAGAACGUGGGGAAUGGUCAGAGGCGAGCCAAAGAACGUGGGGAAUGGUCAGAGGCGAUCUAAAGAACGUGGGGAAUGGUCAGAGGCGAUCUAAAGAACGUGGGGAAUGGUCAGAGGCGAUCUAAAGAACGUGGGGAAUGGUCAGAGGCGAGCUAAAGAACGUGGGGAAUGGUCAGAGGCGAUCUAAAGAACGUGGGGAAUGGUCAGAGGCGAUCUAAAGGACGUGGGGAAUGGUCAGAG